rnacentral:tRNA from 1 species
GGAAGAUGUUCGCGUCCGGUGACGUGGCUGGACUUCAAAUCCAGACGGGGGCGUAAUACGCCUUCGGAGGGUUCGACUCCCUUCAUCUUCCGCCA